rnacentral:rRNA from 1 species
CCUACGGGAGGCAGCAGUGGGGAAUAUUGCGCAAUGGGCGAAAGCCUGACGCAGCGACGCCGCGUGAGGGAUGAAAGUCUUCGGAUCGUAAACCUCUGUCAGCAGGGAAGAACGGUCACUGUGCUAAUCAGCAGUGAAUUGACGGUACCUGCAAAGGAAGCAACGGCUAACUCCGUGCCAGAAGCCGCGGUAAUACGGAGGGUGCGAGCGUUAAUCGGAAUUACUGGGCGUAAAGCGCUCGUGGGCGGUAUGUCAAGGCAAGGGUGAAAUCCCCGCGCUCAACGUGGGAACUGCCUUUGAAACUGGCAAACUGGAGUGUGUUAGAGGAUAGUGGAAUUCCAGGUGUAGGAGUGAAAUCCGUAGAUAUCUGGAGGAACAUCAGUAGCGAAGGCGACUAUCUGGCACAUAACUGACGCUGAGAGCGAAAGCGUGGGUAGCAAACAGGAUUAGAUACCCGGGUAGUC